UACGGGGUGGUCGAUUAUAAGUCGGUAGAUUGUAAAUCUAUGCAUGAGUUUGUUAUACUCUCUCGUAA
rnacentral:tRNA from 1 species